rnacentral:rRNA from 1 species
GCCAACGUCCAUACCACGUUGAAAACACCGGUUCUCGUCUGAUCACCGAAGUUAAGCAACGUCGGGCGCGGUCAGUACUUGGAUGGGUGACCGCCUGGGAACAACGCGUGACGUUGGCU